rnacentral:ribozyme from 1 species
CCAAAAAAAUAAGAAAAAAAGACAAAAAAGACACAAAAAACAAAAAAAAUAAGAAACUAACCCUGUAACCCCAACCCACCCCACGAUCUUCUCUAAGUUUUUUCUUUUUUUCCUUCUUUUUUCCUUUUUGUUUCUAGGUUUUUUUGUUCUCUUUUUUUUUGAGA